AACGCACUCUAUUAAAGCCGGGUACUGAUGUGAGUGCUCUGGUGUCGGAAGUGUGCAAAAGUAACCGGGUCAGGGUUUUACCGACACCAGGAGGACGGCUGUCCUAUGCCUGGGGUUUGAGUAAACCCUGACCUACAC
rnacentral:snoRNA from 1 species